CCAAGGAGUCUAACAUGUGCGCGAGUCAUUGGGUCUUGCUCAGGCCCAAAGGCGCAAUGAAAGUGAAGGCCGGCCCGGUCGGCUGCGUUGGGAUCCCGCAUUCAUUUUUUGUGUGCGGGMGCACCAACGGCCCGUCCCGAUCGCCGCGUCGACGGGGCGGAGUGAGAGCGUACACGUUGGGACCCGAAAGAUGGUGAACUAUGCCUGGGCAGGACGAAGCCAGAGGAAACUCUGGUGGAGGUCCGCAGCGAUUCUGACGUGCAAAUCGAUCGUCAGACCUGGGUAUAGGGGCGAAAGACUAAUCGAACCAUCUA
rnacentral:rRNA from 1 species